rnacentral:lncRNA from 1 species
UAUCUCGUUGCUACGCGGUGUGGCCUGUGCAGUGUCUCUGACGUGACGUGACCGCCCGCGGAGAGGACCGCGUGGAAGGCAGCCGGAAGAAGCGGCGACGGCGCGAUACAGACAUCGCACGGCUCUCCCUCGCGCAAACACGGUGUUCACGCAACAGCAGAACUCUUCCCCGGCUGAAAGCGUGCCAAGACAAACUGCAAAGGCGCAGCUUGAACAAGGAAGCAGCGUCUUCUGGACUUUUUGUCGGAGUGCGUUAUGUUUGGACUCGCGUGUGAGUGGGAGUGUGUGUGUGUGUGUGUGGUCGACUGCGUGUGGGGAGGAAAUGCGUGAGUCGUCCUCUGAACGUGUGAAAGUCGCGACGGGGGCGGCAGUGUGCUGUGUACAGUGUUCCCCGGUGAGAUUGGAAAAUAUCAUUCCUAUGCGGGAAAAGUAGGAGGGAAAUCGAAAUGAAAGAUGGUGUAUACACCGGCCGCGUAGUUCUCUCAGUCGCUGGGAAGUGGGAAUGUAAAAAAAUUUUGCGUUAGCUCCAAAGCUCUGGACCGCUGAAUCGGGCGUCAGUGCUUCUGUAUAGCGUAGGAGCGCUGGAAGUGGCGCGACGGUUGAGUGAAUGGAUAGCGUUGGCUCGUUACGACUAAUACUUUCAUGAUGGACCUUGAAUUUCUAGCGUCUCGGUGCAUACAGCCAUGGACUAGGCUAUAGCGAACAUGCUUCGUAUUAUAGACUGUAACUGAGCCCGCCCAAACAAGGAUGUGGCCGAACGAGCUUACGCUUGUACGCGCAAGAGAUGAUGGCAAGUGGAGACACACCAGUUUUCGUUGCGCUUUCGCGCCGUCGCAGCUUCAGUGCGUUCCAUUGAUUGUUCGGGUCUGUACACAGGCUGCUGCCAGUUGAAAUUUCAUCCUUGCUUUUUAAUUUAUCGUUUAUUUUUACGCAAAUGUUCACAUUCAACGGCUCUGCUGCGUGCUGCUGAAGAUACGAAGGACGAGCCAGGGAGUCAGCAUAGUUAGCAGUAGGAUACGUGUAUGUAGACAUAAACUGGGUGUACAAUCGUAUUGUUAGCUUAGACCUCGCUUACAAGCGAACAAUCGUAAGAAUGGAAUUUAUCCGAGUCAAAGCAGUCAAAGCGAUAUACGCAUAGGUCGAUGUUGUGAACUUAUUGUCUUAGAAUAUAUAUUAGAACUUCGCUCAGGGAAGCAAACAUCGGCUUGCGCAAAGCAAGGGCAACAUUGCCGUAUAUUUGUGUAAAUAACAAAGGUAUCUAUAUAUAUUAUAUAGUUGGGUAUAUAGUCACCAAGAUAGGCACUGUAUCUACGUGGUAUAACAGAAUCAGGUGUCAGCGGAGUCCGUUUUACGAGGAACGAAAUACACACCGCACAAACCGGCACUUGUUUAUCAUUGUACAUGGUUGCUGCAAUUGAAAUUGUUGGGACGUCAAGUGUACAAACAAAUAAAGAUGGCAUGCAAGCUCCUUGCGAGUCCGCACCGCCCACUUUUUUUUAA